UGGGGAAUAUUGCGCAAUGGGCGAAAGCCUGACGCAGCGACGCCGCGUGGAGGAUGAAGGUCUUCGGAUUGUAAACUUCUGUUAAGUGGGAAGAAAAAUUUACGUUUAAUACACGUAGGCAAUGACGGUACCAUUAGAGAAAGCACCGGCUAACUUCGUGCCAGCAGCCGCGGUAAUACGAAGGGUGCGAGCGUUAUUCGGAAUUAUUGGGCGUAAAGGGUGUGUAGACGGUAUAUUAAGUCUGUUGUUAAAUCUUCUGGCCUAACCAGAAAUCUGCAGUAGAUACUGAUGUGCUAGAGGGUGGAAGAGAGAAGUGGAAUUCUCGGAGUAGCGGUAAAAUGCGUAGAUCUCGAGAGGAACACCAAUGGCGAAGGCAGCUUCUUGGUCCAUACCUGACGUUGAGGCACGAAAGCGUGGGGAGCAAACAGG
rnacentral:rRNA from 1 species